ACUACGGGUGGCUGCAGUGAGGAAUAUUGGUCAAUGGACGAGAGUCUGAACCAGCCAAGUAGCGUGAAGGAUGACUGCCCUAUGGGUUGUAAACUCUUUUUAUAUGGGAAUAAAACAGGGUAUGCAUAGACUCUUGUAUGUACCAUAUGAAUAAGCAUCGGCUAACUCUGGGCCAGCAGCAGCGGUAAUAUGGAGGAUCCGAGCGUUAUAAGGAUCUACUUGGCUUAAAGGGAGCGUAGGGGGAUUAUUAAGUCAGUUGUGAAAGUUGGCGGCUCAACCGUAAAAUUGCAUUUGAAACUGGCAGUCUUGAGUACAGUAGAGGUGGGCAGAAUUCGUGGUGUAGCGGUGAAAUGCUUAGAUAUCCGGAAGAACUCCGAUUGCGAAGGCAGCCCUCUGGACUGCAACUGACGCUGAUGCGCGAAAGUGUGGGUAUCAAACAGGAUUAGAUACCCUGGUAGUC
rnacentral:rRNA from 1 species